UAAUGGCAGGUACAGAGGGAGUGCUACCGGGCGACCGGAUGCGGAUCUCGAAAGCCUGUCCCAGUUCGGACUGGAGUCUGCAACCCGACUCCACGAAGUUGGAUUCGCUAGUAAUCGCGCAUCAGCCAUGGCGCGGUGAAUACGUUCCCGGGCCUUGUACACACCGCCCGUCAAGCCAUGGGAGCCGGGGGCGCCUGAAGUCCGGGACCGCGAGGACCGGCCUAGGGCGAAACUGGUAACUGGGGCUAAGUCGUAACAAGGUAUC
rnacentral:rRNA from 1 species